GACGAACGCUGGCGGCGUGCCUAAUACAUGCAAGUCGAACGAGAGCAACCGGUGCUUGCCCUGGUCAAUCUAGUGGCGAACGGGUGAGUAACACGUGGGUAACCUGCCCAUCAGAGGGGGAUAACAUCCGGAAACGGAUGCUAAAACCGCAUAGGUCUUCGAACCGCAUGGUUUGAAGGGGAAAGAAGCCGCAGGCUCUGCUUGUGGGUGGACCCGCGGUGCAUUAGCUAGUUGGUGAGGUAACGGCUCACCAAGGCCGUGAUGCAUAGCCGACCUGAGAGGGUGAUCGGCCACAUUGGGACUGAGACACGGCCCAAACUCCUACGGGAGGCAGCAGUAGGGAAUCUUCCGCAAUGGACGCAAGUCUGACGGAGCAACGCCGCGUGAGUGAAGAAGGUUUUCGGAUCGUAAAACUCUGUUGUUAGAGAAGAACAAGUGCUAGAGUAACUGUUAGCGCCUUGACGGUAUCUAACCAGAAAGCCACGGCUAACUACGUG
rnacentral:rRNA from 1 species